AUAUUUAAUAUGUAAAAGAACAUGUGAUUCUGUUCCAUUCUGUUUGUAGUUUGUUUGUUUGUCUUUUAGCACAAAGUCCGCGAGCAUUGCCACUUUUCAUUUCACUGCACAUUUCGUAUGUGUGUGACGAAUAAACUAGACUUGACUUGGGAGGGUGGAGAUUUAAAG